UACGGAGGAUGCAAGCGUUAUCCGGAAUUACUGGGCGUAAAGCGUGCGCAGGCGGCGCGUUAAGACAGGUGUGAAAGCCCCGAGCUUAACUUGGGAAUUGCGCUUGUGACUGGCGUGCUGGAGUGUGGCAGAGGGAGGUGGAAUUCCACGUGUAGCAGUGAAAUGCGUAGAGAUGUGGAGGAACACCGAUGGCGAAGGCAGCCUCCUGGGCCAGCACUGACGCUCAUGCACGAAAGCGUGGGGAGCAAACAGG
rnacentral:rRNA from 1 species